rnacentral:ncRNA from 1 species
AAACAUAUAGGUUUGGUCCUAGCCUUUUUAUUAGCUCUCAGUGAGAUUACACAUGCAAGCAUCCACAGCCCUGUGAAAAUGCCCUCUAGAUUAUCAGAACAUGAGGAGCGAGUAUCAAGCACAUGCACCUGCAGCUCAAAACACUUUGCUUAGCCAUGCCUCCACAGGAAACAGCAGUGACAAACUUUUAGCAAUGAAUGAAAGUUUAAGUUACACUGACCAUUAGAGUUGGUCAAUUUCGUGCCAGCCACUGCAGCCAUACGAUUGACUUGAGUUAAUAGAGCCCAGCAUAAAGAGUGUUUAAGAUUUUAUUCCCAAUAAAGCUAACAUAUAACUAAGUCGUAGAAAACCCCAGUUAUGGUAAAAUAUCCUACGAAAGUGGCUUUAGUACCCUGAAUACACUAUAGCUAAGGUACAAUCUGGGAUUAGAUACCCCACUAUGCUUAGCCCUAAACCUCAAUAACUUAAUCAACAAAAUUAUUCGCCAGAACACUACAAGCUAUAGCUUGAAACUCAAAGGACCUGGCAGUGCUUUACAUCCGUCUAGAGGAGCCUGUUCUAUAAUUGAUAUACCCCGAUCAACCUUACCACCUCUUGCCCUCAGCCUGUAUACUACCAUCUUCAGCAAACUCCUUUAAGAUCGUAAAGUAAGCAGAAGUAUCAUCAUAAAAACGUUAGGUCAAGGUGCAGCCAAUGAAGUGGGAAGAUAUGGGCUACAUUUUCUAAGUUAGAAAAACUACAAAAUAGCCUUUAUGAAAUCUAAGGGUCUAAGGUGGAUUUAGCAGUAAAUCAAGAAUAGAGAGCUUGAUUGAAACAAGGCCAUUAAGCAUGCACACACCGCCCGUCACCCUCCUCAAACAUCACAUAAAAGUACAUUAACAAUAAGCCACUACACGCUGAUAUAGAGGGGAUAAGUCAUAACAUGGUAAGCAUACUGGAAAGUGCACUUGGACGAAUCAAAGU